rnacentral:lncRNA from 1 species
CUCCUUCAAUACCCUUUCUUUGCAAAAGUUCUCACGGUUCUUCAAAGCCUUCAGUAGUCACUAAUCAAUUAAUGUUAAUAUUUCUACCAGGGAAUUUCUAAACCUCACAACACAGAUUUUUAAAAGUUCUCUAAUCAAUCGAUGGCAGACUGGGAACAGACUUCUGGGAUCUGGCCCUUCUUCACCUACCCCUUGAUAAAAGGCUUCCUCACACGGCUGUUUUGGAGAACCGUGUCUCGCUUCCUUCCAGAUACAAGAACUGGGGCCUUCCAAUGGUAAAGAAAGAUCAGUAAGACCAGUGUGGGGGAGGGGGGGGAUGGGAGGGAUAGGGGGAGACCAGCCUAGCUUCUCCUAGGAACUUGGUGGGGCAGGAAAACAAACUUCAGAGUAGGGGAGCAAGAACAUAUCAUGUCGUUUUCCAUCUCCCAAUAGAAUCUGAACUAGAUUGUGGCCAACGUAUGACACCAACUUCCGAGUGUGGGAAUAACAGGAUUUCAAGAUUCACCGGCUUCUGCCAGGGUUCCUGAGGUGCUCUGCGUUUCCAGCGCACACCGGUGGCACAAAGGCCGCGCCGCCGCGCCGCCCGCGCCAGCCCUGCGCGUGGUCCCCGCCCGCCGGAUGUUGACGGCGUCGCCUAGCAACGGGAGAUGGCUGAGCCGGGUGGCCAGGACGGCGGGUCUCAGCUGGAAGGCGAAUCGACUUCUGAAGGAGAAGAGACCCAGAGUACUGACGGCGACACGGUGUCCCCCACAGGGAAGACCAGUGACCCAAACAUUGACGAGGCUGUUGGUGUUACAGAGUUUUCUGAAGAGGGAUUUGCGGCCUCUGGGGAAGUCAUAACCGAAGGAGAAAUUGAAAUUGAGGGGGAAGUCGAAAAUGACGGGGAAGUGGAAACUGAGGAAGAAGGGGAAAUUGAGGGGGAAGUGGAAACUGAUGGAGAUGUGGAAACAGAAGAGGACGUAGUCGAAUUUGAAGGGGAGUUGGAGUCAGAAAUGGAAGCCACAUCCCCUGAAGGGAAAGUCAGUUCCAUAGAUCUGGCUUAUUCAGAAGCCGGUGCUGCGGAGGUGCCCGGAGAGGAAGUGGGCCCCACGGACCCGCAUGAGCAUGUAAGGAGGGAAGGUGUUCCUGAAGACAGAGAAGCCCCCCGUCCAUCAGAAUCCAGAGAUUUGGGGGACAUCUCCACUCAGCCAUCCUGGCAAGUAGUCGACUCUUCGGGGCAAAUAGGCCAGGAUGUUUCUGGACCCAGGGUUAGCGGACCGGUAAGUGGCCCUGGGGUCUACCGGACGAAAGUGUUUGACUGCCGAUGCAGUGGCUCACCCUAUGUGAGCAACUCAGGGCACAUUAUAAAAACAAACUGCAAUCCCUGUUAGAAAUUUCUUAGCAAACUCGGGACCCACUUUUGCAUGCCGAGAGUUUCUGGACCUCUCUUUGGUGUUCCCAAACCCAAGGCUGGAAACAUUCUAUGUAAGGGCAUCCAGGUUUCCGGUCUCUGGAACCGCACCAUCCAGUGAAACUUUCCGUGGUGAAGGAAAUGUCCAGCAUGGUAGCCAUCAGUACAAGGGGCUACAGAGACUUUAAAUGUGGCCUGGGAGAGGAGGAACUGAAUUUUUAAUGAGGAUUCUAAUUAAAUUAAAUUAAUAUAACCACCUGUUGCUAGUGGUUACCAUACAGGACAAGGCAAUUCAAGAUAAUAAUGAUUAUGACGACAAUAGUUAUGAUCUUACAAUUUUAUUUUUUUUACUUUUAAACAAGCAUGGGCUUAUAGAAAAGUUGGAGUAUGAUUAGAAGAACUUGUUAUUUUUUUAAGCCUUGGAGAGUAAGUCAAUGAUUGGAUGGGCCAUUGCCUCCAAAUGCUUCCAUGCGUGUUUUCCACAAACAACCAAAACAUAACUAUCAAUAUCUAGAAAUUUCACUACAUUACCAAAUAAUCCUCAGGCCUCAUUCACCAAGUGUCUCAAUGACACCUUUUAUAGCGGACGUACGGUUCCAAAUCACAUGUUGCCUUUGGUUGUCCCAUCUCUCGGUCUUAAUCAUUCCUUGACUUUAAUGACCUUGGCACGUCUAAAGAUCACCAGCCAGCGACCCUUAAAAUGCCUCUCAGUUUGGAUUUGCCUGGUUUUCCUCUUGAUGAGAUCUGGGUUAUGAUCCCUUGGGAAGGGGUCACAGAGGGAGGCUGGUUCUUCUUCUGUCCUACGAGGUGGUACAUUAACUGUAGUUUGUCCCAUUACCAGUGGUGUUGCUGUGGGCCCCUUGAUGAAAACGCUCCAGCCUUCUCCACUGGGAAGUUACCCUUCACCCCUUCGCAUUCAAGAAAAAUGGUGCGGGAAGGCGGUCCUCUUGUUUGAGAUAGGAAAGUAUUUCAAAUGAAGAAACAAAAUCACAGCAGGUUACUACCAUAUUGGUAGGGUUAGUUCAUCUUUCUCCCAGCAGGGUGUUUAGGCCCAGUUUUGGUCAGAUUUAUCCCUAACCACUUUACAUUCUUGAUGCUAUUGGAAGCGGCUUCCAGUUGUCUGCUGCUGUACUGUACACAGAAAUACAACUGACUUUUGUAUAUUGGUCUUAUAUUCAGCAACACUGCCAAACACCCUUGUUCCAGUAGCUUUUUUUUUUUUUUUAGAAUCAUAGGAUUUUUCAUAAAGAAAAGAUCAUGUUCUCCGUGAAUAAAGGUGGUUUAACUUCGUCCUUUCCAAUCCAGAUGCCCUUUAUAUCUUUUCCUUGACUCCUUACACUGGCUAGAACUUCCAGUACAACGUUGAAGAGAAAUUGUCUCCAGUUUGGCCAGUGAGGGCCCAUUCAAACGACCUUUGUGUCCUUCUGACGCCCCGGGGCAUUCUGUGUGUUGCCAUCCCUCAUUCUUGGAACGCAUUCUUGUUCUCUGUGGCACAAACUGCCCGGCCCUAGAAUCCGACAUUUCUCCAGGAGCCUGGCUUCUUCUCAUGGAAAAUAAAAUGUAGCAGUCAUGAUUUGGGCUCUAGGUAAUCUCACUGCCACCAGGGUGUCACUGUCCCCAGGCUCUCUCAGUAUCAUACACAACACCCCUCACACACAGCGCACACAGACACAGCGCAUACCAACCCCUCUCUAACACAGCUCACCACUGAGUGGGUU